rnacentral:rRNA from 1 species
ACGCUGGCGGCAGGCCUAACACAUGCAAGUCGAGCGGUAGAGAGAAGCUUGCUUCUCUUGAGAGCGGCGGACGGGUGAGUAAUGCCUAGGAAUCUGCCUGGUAGUGGGGGAUAACGUUCGGAAACGGACGCUAAUACCGCAUACGUCCUACGGGAGAAAGCAGGGGACCUUCGGGCCUUGCGCUAUCAGAUGAGCCUAGGUCGGAUUAGCUAGUUGGUGGGGUAAUGGCUCACCAAGGCGACGAUCCGUAACUGGUCUGAGAGGAUGAUCAGUCACACUGGAACUGAGACACGGUCCAGACUCCUACGGGAGGCAGCAGUGGGGAAUAUUGGACAAUGGGCGAAAGCCUGAUCCAGCCAUGCCGCGUGUGUGAAGAAGGUCUUCGGAUUGUAAAGCACUUUAAGUUGGGAGGAAGGGUUGUAGAUUAAUACUCUGCAAUUUUGACGUUACCGACAGAAUAAGCACCGGCUAACUCUGUGCCAGCAGCCGCGGUAAUACAGAGGGUGCAAGCGUUAAUCGGAAUUACUGGGCGUAAAGCGCGCGUAGGUGGUUAGUUAAGUUGGAUGUGAAAUCCCCGGGCUCAACCUGGGAACUGCAUUCAAAACUGACUGACUAGAGUAUGGUAGAGGGUGGUGGAAUUUCCUGUGUAGCGGUGGAAUGCGUAGAUAUAGGAAGGAACACCAGUGGCGAAGGCGACCACCUGGACUGAUACUGACACUGAGGUGCGAAAGCGUGGGGAGCAAAC